rnacentral:lncRNA from 1 species
AAGUUCAAAGACAUGCAGAGCUAAUCUAUGGUGAUAGAGAUAAGAAUGGUGGUUACACUGAAAUGGGAGGAUCGCUCAAACCCGGGAGGCGGAGGCUGCAGUGAACCAUGAUGGAGCUGCACUCCAGCUUUGGAGACAGAGCGAGACCCUGUCUCUAAAAAAAAAAAAAAAAUGAUUGUUCCAUUCUGUGGUGGCAAGUGGGGGCUUGACUGGAAGGGAACACAAGGGCACCUGUUGAGGUGCUGAGCACGUUCUGUAUCUUGACCUGAGUGUCGGAUACAUCCUGGGGAUACAUACGUACAUAAAAAUUCAUCAGGGUAUACGCUACUUAAGCUGGGCGUAGUUUACAGUAUGUAGGUUACAACAUAAAAAAGAAGUGAAUGAACCAAAGAAUACUGGGCUCCCUGGCGUUUCCUCUUCUGCAACCCAAGGAAAUAAGCCUCGGUGUGGAGAGGGCCUGUCCUCAGGGCCUGGCAGAUGUAGGCGAUUCUUACCACGUCUCCUUCGGUAAGCCCACCUGGCAAGUUCUCAUCCACAUAAUCUGUGCAUGCUCAACAUUUGAAACCAGUGGGGACCCAUUCGGACCCCAAGAGUUGGUAUUAGAGAUCAUUUUAAAGUGAAAACUGGCCAGGCACGAUGGCUUACACCUGUAAUCCCAGCACUUUGGGAGGCUGAGGUGGGCGGAUCACAUGAGGUCAGGAGUUCGAGACCAACUUGGCCAACAUGGUGAAACCCUGUUGACUCAGGAUGACUCAGAUUAGAGCAGGUGACUGGGGGUGACUCAGGAUGGAGCAGGUGAUAGAGGCUAGGAGGGGGUUGUUUACUGAAACUAGGGGCAAGGAGAUGAAGAAAACGAGGAAGUUAAACUUUAAAAUGAAGAGCUGAACAUACUGAUACAUUGAUUCUUUGGAGAGGAUCUCAGAACUCAUUGUACUUAACAAUUUACAGGCUAAAACCUUUGAAGAAGAAUUUAUUAUAUCCUACAAACCUGGGAGGCAGAGGUUGCAGUGAGCCAAGAUUGGGCCAUCGCACUCCAGCCUGGGCAAUAAGAAUGAAACUCUGUCUCAAAAAAAACAAAAGUUGGCCAGGGCUGGGCGUGGUGGCUCACACCUGUAAUCCCAGCACUUUGGGAGGCUAAAGCAGGUGGAUCACCUGAGGUCAGAAGUACGAGACCAUCGUGGCUAAUAUGGUGAAACCCCAUCUCUACUCAAAAUACGAAAAAAGAAAAAAAAAAUUAGCCAAGCACGGUGGUGCACGCCUGUUAUCCCAGCUGCUUAGGAAGCUGAGGCAGGAGAAUUGCCUGAUCCCAGAGGCAGAGGUUGCAGUGAACUGGGAUUGUGCCACUGCACUCCAGCCUAGGCGACAGAGCAAGAUUCUGUCUCAAAAAUAAAUACAUAAAUAAAGUUUUAGAGCAGGAAUGAAAGGAAGUAAAGUACACUUGGAAGAGCUGUGUUGGCAACUGGAGAGAUCCGAGUGCCUCAUCUGACCCUUGACUUGGGAUUAAUACAUUGGCAUGAGAUGUGAGCAGUGACUCAAAGUUGCUCAGAAAAAAAUCUUCCCCCGCUAUUUAGUACUGCAGCUGGCACCUGCCCUCCCCACGCACUGCAGCUGGCACCUGCCCUCCCCACACCAGUAUUUGGUACUGCAGCUGGCACCUGCCCUCCCCUCUGCUAUUUAGUACUGCAGCUGGCACCUGCCCUCCACACAGCAGUAUUUAGUACUGCAGCUGGCACCUGCCCUCCCCACACCAGUAUUUAGUACUGCAGCUGGCACCUGCCCUCCCCUAUUUAGUACUGCAGCUGGCACCUGCCCUCCCCACGUCAGUGUUCAGGAUUCUUUCUCUCUGUUUUUCUUUUUUUUCCAUAGUUUUCACCUUUCUAUAAUUCACUUAUUUGUUAUGUUUAUUGUUUUGUGAAAGGAAAAUAAAUCUUGGGCCCCCAAAAUCACUAAGCUAAAGGGGAAAGUCAAGCCGGGAAUGGCUUAGGGCCGACCUGCCCCCCAUUCUAUUCAAAAUCACCCCCUGCUCACUGAGAUAGAUGCAUAUCUGAUUGCCUUCUUUGGAAAGGCCCAUCAGAAACUCAAAAGAAUGCGACCUUUGUCUCUCACCCACCUGUGACCUGGAAGCUUUCUCCUGGCUGCGAGUUGUCCCACAUUUGCUUGGCGUUGCCCGGCCUUUUCCAGACUGAACCAAUGUUCAUCUUACAUGUGUUGAUUGAUGUCUCAUGUCUCCCUAAAACGUAUGACCACCUUGGCACAUGUCGUCAGGACAUCCUGAGGCUGUGUCACGGGUGUGCAUCUUCAACCUUGGAACAAUAAACUUUCUAAAUUAACUGAGACCUGUCUCAGAUUUGGGGGGUUCACAUUUUGGUAACCAUGGAGGGAUUCUGAGUUGAGGUACCCCUGACCUUUGACAGAUCUAUUGGUGCUUGGUAGCACCAUGAGCUAACCUUAUGGCUCAAACCAACAGGACAAUUUGCUGAGGUCUGGGAGCACCCCCUCCAUAGAGUCCCUGAUCUCUCAAAACUUGGUCGUGAUCUAAAGUUUAUUUGAUGUACAACUCCCCCUCUCCUUCUUUUGGAGUUUUAUUUGCUUCCAAGAAGGAAGGCAAGAUUUCCUGGGUCCGUGAUGAUGGAAGGCUGACAACUCUUUUAUGGAGUUUGAGCUUGCUCCCAGCAGGGAAGACAAGUUCGAGUUUUUUUCCUGCUUCAAGGAUGGUAGAGAGCAGUCUUCAGCCUGAGACCCAUCCCUAGGUAAGUAGCUGAACUGAGGUUUUGUCUUGGCUGAAGGUUAACAACCAGCUGGUCUGAAUUUCUUCUUCCCAUUAGAGCAGUCUGUGGUCAUAUCAUUUGACUUUUGUUGUUGUUGUUUUUUCUGGUCUUUCUCUCAUCAGAUUUGACCAACUCUACCUGACUUGGUCAAAUCCAAGUGAGAAUUCCAAAUUAUGGGUAACAAAGCCUCUCUAAUUUGGCUAAAAUUCCUUGCAGCUGCAAAAGAGGAAAAAACUAAACGAAAACAACAAAUCACGUGCUUGGUUUCUGUGUUUGCUUUCUGUCUUAAAAAACAAACAAACAAAAACAACAAAUGCUCUUUCACUUACUUUUCUUCCUCCCUAUACCUCCUCCUGCCUUUGCCAUCUGCGGGACCAAAAAAAUCUAGAGAAGGCUUCCAAUGACUCGAGCCCCUUUAAAGGAUCCGGAACAAAGGGGCCACUCACCCCUUCCAGGGUGCUCUGUUUUCUUUGUGGAGUUUCAAGAGUGAUGGGCGGAUUCUUCUUAGGUCUAAAGCUCUGCUGUCUUCCUGUACGGCAUGACCUGACCUCUUUGGCUUUGGGGGAACCAGAGAUGACCCUGCACUGUGAGAGGAUUUGACCUUGGCGUGUGUAAUGGCAGACGAGAACUACAAAGAAGGGGUGGCUGAGCACAGUUUACAGGGAAUGGUCUUGGCUGUUUUUUUUUUUUUCUCUUCUAGGAAGCUGUGAUUUAAGGAUCCUAAUUCUAGUUCAGAGAUGCAUCCUAAAGGGUCUUCUCUAUUGCUUUUUCUCCCAAAAUGAAUCUCAGUUUGGGUUGUCUAUGUAUUUGCAUGAGGAACUGAACUGUUGUUGUCAUAGGUAAAUGAGAGAUUGAGUUUUCUCAGCUCCAAAGAGAAAGGGCGUUUGCUCCUCCCAGCCGAGUACUCCAUAGGGUUCAUGGCGCCUCUACUUGCCAGAGUUUAUGUAAAGUGGAAGUAAUAUGGUCUUUCUGCACAUUUACAUUAAAAAAAAAGGAGCCCUGAGGUUGACCUG